GGAGAGGUGCCAGUGAGGGGCGGGCAGAGGUGCCAGUGAGGGGCGGGCAGAGGUGCCAGUGAGGGGGCAGGCAGAGGUGCCAGUGAGGGGCGGGCAGAGGUGCCAGUGAGGGGGCGGGCAGAGGUGCCAGUGAGGGGUAGGCAGAGGUGCCAGUGAGGGGGCAGGCAGAGGUGCCAGUGAGGGGUAGGCAGAGGUGCCAGUGAGGGGGCAGGCAGAGGUGCCAGUGAGGGGGCAGGCAGAGGUGCCAGUGAGGAGCGGGCAGAGGUGCCAGUGAGGGGGCAGGCAGAGGUGCCAGUGAGGAGCGGGCAGAGGUGCCAGUGAGGGGGCAGGCAGAGGUGCCAGUGAGGAGCGGGCAGAGGUGCCAGUGAGGAGCGGGCAGAGGUGCCAGUGAGGGGGCAGGCAGAGGUGCCAGUGAGGGGGCAGGCAGAGGUGCCAGUGAGGAGUGGGCAGAGGUGCCAGUGAGGGGUGGGCAGAGGUGCCAGUGAGGGGGCAGGCAGAGGUGCCAGUGAGGGGGCGGGCAGAGGUGCCAGUGAGGGGAUGGGGAGAGGUGCCAGUGAGGGGCGGGCAGAAGUGCCAGUGAGGGGGUGGGCAGAGAUGCCAGUGAGGGGAUGGGCAGAGCACCCGAGGGGUGCGGUCCCGGCGGUUCUUCCCAUUUCCCGGCUCUCCCAGGAUAUCGAGGCUUGGACCCUGGCCAAGCCCCUUCCCUCAGUUUCCUUCUCUGUACGAUGGUGUGGGACCAGCUGGCUCCCCAGGUCCCCGGCGACCUUUCCCUUGCUCCUUUCCCUUCUUUCCUAUCUCUUUCCCACGCUCCCCCUCUACCUGUCCGUGGCUGUCUCUCCCCGACCGUCUCAGCCCCUCCUCUCCCUGGUUUCUGCCCUUGCAGCCUGGAAGGCCCCCCCCAUCUCUCCCUCCAGGCAGGGACUAUUCAUGCCUUCCUUGGUAGCCUCAGCCCUUAGCGUAGUGCCGGGACACAGCAGGCACUUAAUAAAUGCCUGCUGACUGACUGGUGUGGGUGCGAGUCUCGGUGCCCCGGGUGGCCGGAGUCACUGAGUGACGCUGCUCCCUGGCCCGGUGGUCGCUCAGAGGCCGAGAGCACGAGCCCGGCCAGGGGCUGGAGGGAGGGGAAGGUCCGGGGCCCGG